rnacentral:rRNA from 1 species
ACGGAAGGCAGCAGUGGGGAAUAUUGCACAAUGGGGGAAACCCUGAUGCAGCGACGCCGCGUGAGUGAAGAAGUAUUUCGGUAUGUAAAGCUCUAUCAGCAGGGAAGAUAAUGACGGUACCUGACUAAGAAGCACCGGCUAAAUACGUGCCAGCAGCCGCGGUAAUACGUAUGGUGCAAGCGUUAUCCGGAUUUACUGGGUGUAAAGGGAGCGUAGGCGGUACGGCAAGUCUGAAGUGAAAUCCCAGGGCUCAACCUUGGAACUGCUUUGGAAACUGUCGAACUAGAGUGUCGGAGAGGUAAGUGGAAUUUCUAGUGUAGCGGUGAAAUGCGUAGAUAUUAGGAGGAACACCAGUGGCGAAGGCGGCUUACUGGACGAUUACUGACGCUGAGGCUCGAAAGCGUGGGGAGCAAACAGGAUUAGAUACCCUGGUA